AGAAAAUCCUGGGAAAUUUCCUCUUGGCCCUUUUACGUGCCAUGGGCCUUUAAUCCUAGGCAAGAGGCUCUAAUAAUAGAAACUAGGAGACCUAAAAAUUGCUUGCACGAUGUAGGCGUGUUUGAUUGCUUGGUAUGGAACAGAGUGAAAUUGCUGGGCAUAUGUGUUGACACUUGAUAAGAAACACAGAUUCCCAGGUCACCUCAUAGACAGGGCUGCACUGGGCCUCCUGCCUAGGCCUGUUCGAUGAAGCACCAACAAGCCCCACAGCUUUGUUGCUUUUGCUAUGCCCACUGGGACCAGUGAGAGAAGUGCGGUCUUAUCCCUGGGAGGAGAGAAAGAGCCAGCAUCUGCAGGCGCCCACAGGAUGUCAAGGUCACAUGGAAUGAUGGUGAUCGAUAUAGACGUGAUCUCAGAGUUCACUCCCUCAUCAUACAGUGGAGGAAACGAGGCCCAGGGAGGGGCGGAACAUUUUUCCAAGUCAUACAGCAAGAACUCAGAGGCCUCUUGGUUCCUGCUCUUGCCUUGAGGUGGUUCUGCGGGGCGCUCCAGAGCCCCCAAGAAAUUCUUCUGAAAUUCAGUUCUCCACAGGACACCUGGGCUCCUCCUCUGUCCUCCCAGCCCCUCACAGAGGAGUAGUUUCCCUUCUGGCCUGCCUAAGUCUGUCUUGUCUUCUGGACUUCAGUGGCCACCAUGGACCUCCCAAGCUUUCUCUUGGGCUCUUCCAGUGCCGACCUCAGCUUGGCUGCCUCACACUCUGUCUGGUGGGCACUUACAGGAGCCAUGUCCACAGACCACCUCGCCUGGGCUGUGGAGGCCCCGUUCUGAGACCACGUGCAGUCCAAAAAAGGAAGCUAAAAGGGGUCAGAGGAAAACAUCCCCGUGUAGGGUGAGGGUGAAUCUCAGUCUCCCUGUCAACUCUCUUUAUCCUGACAUCCAGAAUUCCAGACCUUUGUGGGCACUGAUCCCUGAGACUGGGCUCUUUAAGCUCUUUCACUGAUCCCUGGGGUCCGAAACUUUCAGCUUGCACUUUGGUUUGGUAAACCACUGACUGUCCUACCAAACGCCCCCGCACCCCACAAACUCAACCUGUGCUCUUCAUGUGCUAUCUCCUGUUCGAUCCCCACACUGACCUUCUGGGUUAGGGACUUGCAUGUCCCCAUUUUAUAGAUGAGGAGCCUGAGGCCCAGAGAGGCUGGAGUGCAAUGGUAUGAUCUUGGCUCACUGCAACCUCCGCCUCCUGGAUUCAAGCAAUUCUCCUGCCUCAGCUUCCCAAAUAGAUUCCAGACAUUGUAUGGAAAAGCAUCGUGAAAAUCCCUGGCCUGUUCUGCUCUGUUCUGAUUACCGGUGCGUGCAGCCCGCAGUCACGUACCCGCUGGUUGCUCAAUCGAUCACGACCCUCUCACACGGACCCCCUUAGAGCUGUAAGCCCUUAAAAGGGACAGGAAUUGCUCGCUCGGGGAGCUCGGUUUUUGGAGACGUGAGUCCGCCGGUGCUCCCAGCUGAAUAAAGCCCUUUCCUUCCACAACUCGGUUUCUGAGGGGUUCUUUUCUGC
rnacentral:lncRNA from 1 species